rnacentral:rRNA from 1 species
GGCGUGCCUAAUACAUGCAAGUCGAACGAACUCUGGUAUUGAUUGGUGCUUGCAUCAUGAUUUACAUUUGAGUGAGUGGCGAACUGGUGAGUAACACGUGGGAAACCUGCCCAGAAGCGGGGGAUAACACCUGGAAACAGAUGCUAAUACCGCAUAACAACUUGGACCGCAUGGUCCGAGYUUGAAAGAUGGCUUCGGCUAUCACUUUUGGAUGGUCCCGCGGCGUAUUAGCUAGAUGGUGGGGUAACGGCUCACCAUGGCAAUGAUACGUAGCCGACCUGAGAGGGUAAUCGGCCACAUUGGGACUGAGACACGGCCCAAACUCCUACGGGAGGCAGCAGUAGGGAAUCUUCCACAAUGGACGAAAGUCUGAUGGAGCAACGCCGCGUGAGUGAAGAAGGGUUUCGGCUCGUAAAACUCUGUUGUUAAAGAAGAACAUAUCUGAGAGUAACUGUUCAGGUAUUGACGGUAUUUAACCAGAAAGCCACGGCUAACUACGUGCCAGCAGCCGCGGUAAUACGUAGGUGGCAAGCGUUGUCCGGAUUUAUUGGGCGUAAAGCGAGCGCAGGCGGUUUUUUAAGUCUGAUGUGAAAGCCUUCGGCUCAACCGAAGAAGUGCAUCGGAAACUGGGAAACUUGAGUGCAGAAGAGGACAGUGGAACUCCAUGUGUAGCGGUGAAAUGCGUAGAUAUAUGGAAGAACACCAGUGGCGAAGGCGGCUGUCUGGUCUGUAACUGACGCUGAGGCUCGAAAGUAUGGGUAGCAAACAGGAUUAGAUACCCUGGUAGUCCAUACCGUAAACGAUGAAUGCUAAGUGUUGGAGGGUUUCCGCCCUUCAGUGCUGCAGCUAACGCAUUAAGCAUUCCGCCUGGGGAGUACGGCCGCAAGGCUGAAACUCAAAGGAAUUGACGGGGGCCCGCACAAGCGGUGGAGCAUGUGGUUUAAUUCGAAGCUACGCGAAGAACCUUACCAGGUCUUGACAUACUAUGCAAAUCUAAGAGAUUAGACGUUCCCUUCGGGGACAUGGAUACAGGUGGUGCAUGGUUGUCGUCAGCUCGUGUCGUGAGAUGUUGGGUUAAGUCCCGCAACGAGCGCAACCCUUAUUAUCAGUUGCCAGCAUUAAGUUGGGCACUCUGGUGAGACUGCCGGUGACAAACCGGAGGAAGGUGGGGAUGACGUCAAAUCAUCAUGCCCCUUAUGACCUGGGCUACACACGUGCUACAAUGGAUGGUACAACGAGUUGCGAACUCGCGAGAGUAAGCUAAUCUCUUAAAGCCAUUCUCAGUUCGGAUUGUAGGCUGCAACUCGCCUACAUGAAGUCGGAAUCGCUAGUAAUCGCGGAUCAGCAUGCCGCGGUGAAUACGUUCCCGGGCCUUGUACACACCGCCCGUCACACCAUGAGAGUUUGUAACACCCAAAGUCGGUGGGGUAACCUUUUAGGAACCAGCCGCCUAAGGUGGGACAGAUGAUUAGGGUGAAGUCGUAACAAGGUAGCCGUAGGAGAACC